UUGCCUUCUCAUGUGAAGAGCAAUUUCGUUGUCAGAUCAGCUCUGGACGAGGUGUCUGUCCUCGACCCACCUCCUCCUCAAAACGAGAAGGGGAAAACUGAGCUCAUUGCUUCUUUGAAGCUCAAAUUGCUGAGUAUUGUUUCUGGUCUGAACAGAGGCCUUGCUGCUAGUGAAGAUGAUAUACAGAAGGCAGAUGCUGCUGCGAAGGAGCUUGAAGCUGUUGGAGGACUAGUAGAUCUCUCAAAUGAUAUUGAUAAGCUGCAAGGAAGGUGGAAGCUGAUUUAUAGCAGUGCAUUCUCAACUCGCACUCUGGGUGGAAGUCGUCCUGGACCUCCCACUGGAAGGCUGCUUCCUAUAACUCUAGGCCAGGUGUUUCAACGGAUUGAUGUCUUAAGCAAAGAUUUUGAUAAUAUAGUAGAGCUUGAAUUAGGUGCUCCAUGGCCUUUGCCACCUGUUGAAGUGACUGCCACAUUAGCCCACAAAUUUGAACUCAUAGGAUCUGCAAAGGUUAAAAUAACAUAUGAGAAAACGACUGUGAAGACAACAGGGAACUUGUCACAACUUCCUUCUUUAGAAAUACCUCGAAUUCCUGAUGCAUUAAGGCCUCCAUCCAAUCGUGGAAGUGGUGAAUUUGAAGUUACCUAUGUUGAUGGUGAUACCCGUAUCACCAGAGGAGAUAGAGAAGAGCUGAGGAUUUUUGUAAUCUCGUAAUUUUUUUUCUUGUGCAUUUUCUUUGCCAUCCACAUUCAAUAUUCUCUCAUCAUCUCUGUAUUUCAAAAGCAUUUAUCUAUCUUUUCGUUCUGUUUUUCCAAGCG
rnacentral:misc_RNA from 1 species